rnacentral:rRNA from 1 species
CGGGUGAGUAAUGCUUGGGAAUCUAGCUUAUGGAGGGGGAUAACUACGGGAAACUGUAGCUAAUACCGCGUAGAAUCGAGAGGUGAAAGUGUGGGACCUUCGGGCCACAUGCCAUAGGAUGAGCCCAAGUGGGAUUAGGUAGUUGGUGAGGUAAAGGCUCACCAAGCCGACGAUCUCUAGCUGGUCUGAGAGGAUGACCAGCCACACUGGGACUGAGACACGGCCCAG